ACGCACGCUGGCGGCGUGCUUCACACCUGCCAGUCGCACGGAAAGGCCCUGCUUUUGUGGGGUGCUCGAGUGGCGAACGGGUGAGUAACACGUGAGUAACCUGCCCUUGACUUUGGGAUAACUUCAGGAAACUGGGGCUAAUACCGGAUAGGAGCUCCUGCUGCAUGGUGGGGGUUGGAAAGUUUCGGCGGUUGGGGAUGGACUCGCGGCUUAUCAGCUUGUUGGUGGGGUAGUGGCUUACCAAGGCUUUGACGGGUAGCCGGCCUGAGAGGGUGACCGGCCACAUUGGGACUGGGAUACGGCCCAGACUCCUACGGGAGGCAGCAGUGGGGAAUAUUGCACAAUGGGCGGAAGCCUGAUGCAGCAACGCCGCGUGCGGGAUGACGGCCUUCGGGUUGUAAACCGCUUUCGCCUGUGACGAAGCGUGAGUGACGGUAAUGGGUAAAGAAGCACCGGCUAACUACGU
rnacentral:rRNA from 1 species